GCGACAGCGGCCCAUAUACAUGACACGCAGGUCCGGGUGGCCGCGGCAGCGCGCCACACGCAGCUCACACUCGUCACGCCCCAUUUCUCAUGUAGGGAAACAGGUUCGACCAGAAGAAGUCUACCACUCAGGACCCUGGACCUUCGGAAAUGCAAAUCGGACACCACUAAUGCCUGCUCCUGUCCUCAGGCCUUCCCAGGCUCAUUGCAGGGGAGGCAGUGGACCAGGCCCAAGAAGCCCAGGAGGCUGAUCUUGUUCCCUGGGUAGGUGAAGUUGGACCAGGCAGUAU